rnacentral:lncRNA from 1 species
GUUACAUGUGAGUAAGAGAGAUAGGAAAGAAAAUAAAGGGGAAAUGCAGAACUCAUUUAGAUCAAACUCUCUGUGCCUAAGUGUACAGAAAAUCUGCAAGCUGUCAAAGUUUUAGUCCAUUCUUAGUCUUAUUGGAUGUUGUACAAUUUGCAAAAUCAUUCUGAGGUAGGAAAUUAGCCUAUUAAAAAUAAGAAAACACAAAAACAAAGCUUUAACAUCAUACCAAGAGAUAUGUGGCUUCUAGUUACUGUGGAAGGGGCAAUCAAUAGAAAAGGCAGGAAAGAAAAGAAAGAGCAUCCGCAACAGAGAUUUCCUGGAAUGAAAAAUGUGCCUGGAUUGUUACUCUAUUGAAUUUUGCUGCUGUAGGACAUAUUAAAGGACAAAUCAACUCUCAAGCAUCCAUUCAAAGUAUACGAGGUAAUUUUUGAGCUGCUUUAUCUACUAAGUUAAAGAUUACAUGGAGAAAGAAUUUGGGCUGACGUACCUGGAGACAGGAGUAAGAACUGGGAUGCAGAAUUCAGGCAGGAAGCAAGACAGAAGGAAUCUCGAUAGAGGCAGAAAUUGGGAUGGACAGUGUCUCAGACUGGAGACUAGUCCCAGAUGACUGGAGACUUGCUAAUAACAAAUUGUAAGGAAAGGUAUGAACUCACUAAACUUUCUUCAAAGAAAAGAUACUCUGAUGGAUAGGGAGCUAAAAAUGAAUUGAGAGGCCAAGGCUCGACUGCUUGCUCUUUUAUCUGCUCUGAAGACUUUGGAUGAGUCAGCUGGAAGGUGGAAAGAGGGAUUUCUCUCACAAAGGUGAAAGUGUGCAGAGGCCAAGCUCCCAAAGCUGCCAAGAGAAUGAGAUGGACUCCUCCUGCUAGUGUUUUGCAGAAAACUUACAGUAUUGUCACAGUUCU